AGGGUACACCAGGAAGCCUGAGAAAGUGAUGUACUUGCCGUGGUUGCUGUAGGCGCCAUAGCCAUCGUGAUCGUGGCUAAGUAGCCAGACGGCGUCGCCGCGCCGCAGCGGCAGCAUCACGCUCUGACUCUGCAUCUCACGGCGCCUCGAAGCGCCGUCGUCGUAAAUCAUGGCCUGCACCUCGUCGCGGUUCUUCAUCAGCUUCACCGACAGCGUCUUGCGCGGCAGCUUGCCCAGCGUGAAGGAGAAGAAAUAGGCUCCCGGCAGGCGGCAGCGGAACACGCCGGCCGCCGCGUCGAAGUCGCCACCUAUGUUUACCAGCUCGGUGUCGAAGGCCAACGGCCGGUGGCGCGGGCCGGGGGCGGCGUCCGAGCCCACCAGGCUGCGCGUGCGCGCCGCGGAGAAGGCCGAGCGCGGCUCCGGGGCCGCGGGGCCGCGCGCAGGCGCGUCGGCGUCGGCGUCCGCGUACACCAGGUAGCCGCUGAAGGUGGCGCCCGGCGCGCCGAGCGCGUACUGCGGAGCGCCGUGCAGCCGCAGCCACACCGUGUCGCCGUAGUCGAGCUGCAGCAUGGCGCUCUGGCUGGCCGCGCGCCGCGCGCCUGGCCGUCGCUGCUCGUCGAAAGCCAGCGCCUGCACCUCGUCGCGGUUGCGCACCAGCAUCACCGACAGGCUCUUGUGCGGGGCCUUGCCGGCCGUGAAGGAGAAGAAGUAGGCGCCCGGCACGCGACAGCGGAACCGCCCGGUGGCUGCGUCGAAGUCACCCCCGAUGUUCACGUACACCUUGUCGAAGGUCACCGCCAUCUCCGACGUGCCCUCCAGCGGGGUGGUGCGAGCCGCCGAGAAGGCUGACCGCAGCUCCGAGGAGCCAGGGCCAGCCGGGCCCAGUGCCCAGCAGGCCGCCGGGCCUAGGAAGCCCAGCAAGAGCAGCAGCAUGGCACCUAGGAGGGGAGAGAAGACCCGGGCAGGGGAGAGGGUUGGACAGUAGCUGCCUUACCUGUCAUCUCUUCCUAGCCUUACUCUUGACCCAUGCCUUGCUCUCUGUUUUCCUUCCGGCUUAGACUAGCUUAGUACUUCACACUUAGAGUGUCUCAUUGUCACCGGGAGGGCUUAUCACAGCACCCAGAUUCGCCCUCCACUCUCGAAUUUGUUCUGAGUCUGGGAUGGGGCUGGAGAAUUUGGAUUCUUAGUGGUCUGAUUAACUGGUUCAGAGGGUUUUUGUUUGGUUGGUUUUUUUGGUUUUGUUUUGUUUUGUUUUAAAGAACUGGAUUAGCCCAGUAAUUCUCCAAACUUGUGUCUUUAAGUAUGAGAGAAUCCUUUUGCAAAUAAGACCUGACGCAUGUGCCAC
rnacentral:lncRNA from 1 species